UACGUAUGGUGCAAGCGUUAUCCGGAUUUACUGGGUUUAAAGGGUGCGCAGGCGGCGUGUCAAGUCAGCGGUAAAAUGUCGGGGCUCAACCCCGGCCGGCCGUUGAAACUGGCGUGCUCGAGUUGGAGAGAAGUAUGCGGAACUCGUGGUGUAGCGGUGAAAUGCAUAGAUAUCACGAAGAACCCCGAUUGCGAAGGCAGCAUACCGGCUCCACACUGACGCUGAGGCACGAAAGCGUGGGUAUCGAACAGG
rnacentral:rRNA from 1 species